rnacentral:rRNA from 1 species
UACGUAGGGUGCAAGCGUUAAUCGGAAUUACUGGGCGUAAAGCGUGCGCAGGCGGCGCGUUAAGACAGGUGUGAAAGCCCCGAGCUUAACUUGGGAAUUGCGCUUGUGACUGGCGUGCUGGAGUGUGGCAGAGGGAGGUGGAAUUCCACGUGUAGCAGUGAAAUGCGCAGAUAUCAGGAGGAACACCAAUGGCGAAGGCAGCUCACUGGGACGGUAUUGACGCUGAGACGCGAAAGCGUGGGGAGCAAACAGG